CUAAUUUUCUUCAUUUCUUCUCUUCAAACCUCUCAUCCUUUGUCCCCAAAUAAAGAAAGAAGUGGAGAUUUCAUUUCUUUUCAUGAAGAAGAGUUCGAUUAAGGUGUAGAGACGAUCAUCGGAGUAGAGGCAAGAAAAGGAAAAGAGUUGCUUGACAAGUGAACCAGGAGGGGUUUUAGCUCGCCAAGUUGUGAUAGUAGAGCAGCGGGAUAGAUGCGUGAAGUGCUUGGCCGAGUAGUUUGUAUUUUGUUAAGCUGCGUAUGAUUCUUAAACAUUUUGGCUUGUAUUUGAUGCAUCCACUAGGUUGUUACGAACCCUUAUAUGUAUCUUCUUCUUAGAUACUCUUAUAUAUGUUGGUUAGAUUCA